rnacentral:rRNA from 1 species
UACGUAGGGUGCGAGCGUUACUCGGAAUUACUGGGCGUAAAGCGUGCGCAGGCGGUUUUGUAAGCCAGAUGUGAAAUCCCCGGGCUUAACCUGGGAAUGGCAUUUGGGACUGCAAGGCUGGAGUGUGGCAGAGGAGACUGGAAUUCCCGGUGUAGCGGUGAAAUUCGUAGAUAUUGGGAGGAACACCGGUGGCGAAGGCGACACCCUGGCCCGAAACUGACGCUCAGGUACGAAAGCGUGGGGAGCAAACAGG